GCAAAACGCGAAGAACCUUACCAAGGCUUGACAUCCCUCUGACCGAUUUAGAGAUAGAUCUUUCCCUUCGGGGACAGAGGUGACAGGUGGUGCAUGGUUGUCGUCAGCUCGUGUCGUGAGAUGUUGGGUUAAGUCCCGCAACGAGCGCAACCCUUAUCUUUAGUUGCCAGCAUUUAGUUGGGCACUCUAGAGAGACUGCCGGUGACAAACCGGAGGAAGGUGGGGAUGACGUCAAAUCAUCAUGCCCCUUAUGUCUUGGGCUACACACGUGCUACAAUGGUUGGUACAAAGGGCUGCAAGCCAGCGAUGGUUAGCCAAUCCCAUAAAGCCAAUCUCAGUUCGGAUUGUAGGCUGCAACUCGCCUACAUGAAGUCGGAAUCGCUAGUAAUCGCAGAUCAGCAUGCUGCGGUGAAUACGUUCCCGGGUCUUGUACACACCG
rnacentral:rRNA from 1 species